rnacentral:lncRNA from 1 species
GCUUUCACUUUCUCCACCAAUGAACUGCUCACUCCAUGAUUCAUCAACUGCAUGUAUGCAAAUUAAAGCAAGAUGUCCUUUCCAUAUAUACAUGGUUCAUAAAGGAAAUUCUGAAGUGCAGGAAACAAAAUGAUUUUUAUGGAAAAAGCCAAAGAAACGGAGAGCUGAUAAAAUGAAAAACAACGAUAAAUUAGUCUCUGUUUACUGUGUUUACAAUCAAGUGACUAAUCCGGUACCGAUUUACUUCCUUUUUGUCAACGUUUUGUCUAAUUUUUAUUAUCUGAAUAUCACUGCUAAAUUGUUAUGUACCUGACAGAAACCCCACUCUUUACAUGCACGGUCAAGCUUCUCAAGCUCUGAGUCAUCUCCAGAGAGCAACUUGUGCAUAUCAAUGACUGGAAGUUGUUGUGCUGAAGAAUCGUCGGUGCGAAUCAAGGGAUGGUCCAUCUCAGGGCGAACAUAACGUGGAGGAAUUGUGAUCAGUGGCUUAUUAUGUGCCAGCUCCAGAAUCGAAGGCUCCACGAGAGAACUCCUAAUAUCUGUCGCUUCUGCCUCCAUAUUAUAUAGAUUUCGAUUAUCUGAUUUCUAGCUAUUUCUUUCUUUUCUUCUUCCCUCUCCUGCAGACUCAGCUGGUUUGUGUUUAACAAGAAACUCAUAUAUAAAUAGUCCUUUGGAUGUACUGUAAUCCACUUAGGUGUAAUAAAAUAAUUAUUUUGUUAUAAAAAUUCAAGAGGAUCCUGACUUCUGACUUCUGUCUUGAUAUGAUCAUAUGUAGAGCAAAUAAUUUAGGUGUUGAUUAGUAGAUAAUGAAUUAAAAAAAUAAAGAAGUUAAAUUUUAUCUUUACACUAUCACUAAAUGAUAUAUGACUGGAGAUCUUAAAGCUUCAGUAAAGUUUAGAUUAGGGCUAGAUAAAUAAUCCGAUUCGACCCAACUAAUCCAAAAAAUAUCGGGUUCAGUUCGGAUCGAAUUAUUAACCUAAUUCAAUCGGUGGUAGAAACAAACCUGAUUAGAUCGUGAUCGGAUUGGAUUAAACCCAAUCCACUCUGAAAAUCCAAUAGGGUUGGUCCCUUACAAAAAAAAGAAAAAAAAAGGAAAAAAUGAGCUAACCUAAUUGAUCAUUUCAAUUUACAAGCACAAAGUACAAACAAGCGAACAUCGUGGUAUCCUUUUCACACACAGAGCACAAUGGCACUUCACACACACAACACAACAUAGGGGCAGCACACCACACAUAGUCACAUACGCAGUGGCAGCCGGCGGCACUCACCAAACAUAGCAUGGCAGACGGCAGUCAUGGCAGAGCAAAGCAGCCCUAAUGCGAUCCGUAACUUGCCUACGCAUGCUGCUGUCAUGUACCACGACUGCUGCUGCUGGUUGAUCCAUUCGCCACCACGAUUGCUGCUGCACUCCGAUCUGCUGCUCUCCACCGCUAAAUGGUUUGCCUUGUAAGAAACCUAAAAGAUUUAAUUUAUCCCUAAGAUAUUGUAUUAAUUUCUUCUUGUUGUACCAUAUAUAUUUGGACUGGGUUUGAGUUUAAUUUUUUUCCAACAAUUCUUUUCUUUGAUUGGCAAAAUUUGAUAUGAUAUAUUAGGUAAAAUUCGAUUAAUCAUCCAAUUAACCUAAACUUUUGACCCGAAUUUUUUAUUCGAUUCGAUUUGAAUAUAUUCAAAUUGGUUUAAUUCAAUUCAAUCCAAAAAUUAGAUCGGGUUGAUCAAAACUCGAUUUAUAUCCAGCCCUAGUUUAGAUCAAGAGAAGAUCCCAUUCCAUUUAUUAAAGGGUACACCAUUCAACAUUAAGACAAUUGAAAUAAUGUUAGGGUUUAUUUGUUUUUAUAUCUAAAGUCUUAAUUGGGCUUAAUUUAAGACGUUAUUAUUAGACAUUUUUAUCUGAAUAAAAUAAGUAAAAUUUCACUUUUAUCUGAAUUAAUAAAAUGUUUGAAUGGAAACUCAACUUUUUUUCUCCCAAAUACCCUCAUUAGAUGUAUUUAUUUUCUACUUACCUAUUAGAUGUCAUAUCACAAAUUUCCUUGAUAUCAAAUUUUACUUCGUAUUAAGUAUUUAACAUACAUUUAUUUUGAAUUUUCAAAAAAUUCUUUUAUAAUUAGAUAACAGCUUUUUUAUGUAUAAAUAUUAUGUUAAAUUGUAAAAAUUAAUGUUAUCAAAAUUAUUUUUCAUAAAUUAAAUAUGAGUUACUUCCCUUGUAAAUAUUUAUAACAUAUAAAAACUAUUGUACUAGAAAACAACGUAAAUAUAUAUCUCUUUAAGCUUCAAGUAUAUAUAACACUUUCAAGGUCAUCAGUGUAAAAAUAUUAGAUUUAAAAUGUUUUGAGUUUAAUAAGUACAAACAACUUACCACUUACACCUAGAUGUCAAAAAAUAAAAAACAAAUAUAUUAUUCUGACAUAGGCAUUCAGACCCUUUCAAACUUUAGCAACAUUCAUACCUAUUUCAGAUUUAAGAUAAAAGAAAAAAAAAAAAGAUCGCCAACUUAAUGUUGGGCUAUUUGCAAUCUAGAUUUUACUUUGAGUACCACUUUAUUCUGUACUCUCAUUCUCAUUUAAUAAAUUUUAAAAAAUAAUUUUACUGAGCACAUUCUUUUAAAUACCAAAAUAAUCCUCCAUUUAUAUCUUACAUCUCACCCAAUUUAAUUCUUUACUAAGAAAAUGAGUCUUACCCAAAAUAAUCCUACUAUCACUUGUAUCAAAUCCUAAUGCCAUUAUAGAUUUCACAGUGGAAUAGUAGUCUUAUCCAUGUAGUGUCACAUUGUGUGGUUUAUCUUUAGAUUGGUACUAAUCCCACUAGAUUGGCAUUUUGAAAUAUAAAACCAGGCUGACCACACAAACUUGUGUACUCGAUUUUGUUUGGGUUUUUUCCUCCACGAGUGUUACGUCGUAAAACAGCAAAUUAGAUAUAGACAAAUAUAAACAAUGAAAAAAAAUAGACAAUUGCGCCUAUCAAGUUCACGUGCCCAAUCAUAAAACUUACGAAACUAUUGGGAUAUUUUAUUGUUGAUCGGUCCGCAUCGUUGGUAGAAAUCACGAAAUUUAGAAGAGGACCAUGGCUUUUCAAAAUGCAUUAUUAAUUUAAGUCCUUUAAAUUUAAAUUCAUUUUUGUUUUAUCCAAGUAAUUGAAUAAGCACUCAUUUGGGAUUACUAUUUUGACUUAAAAAUAAUUUUAAAAUAUCAAAAUUUAAGUUUUGUUUGGUAAUUUUUUUAAAAGUAUUGGUAAAUCUAAUUUUGAGAACAAAUGUUAUACUUAAUACAAUUUUAAAUAUAUUCUUACAUAAAAUCAAAAUUAUUCUUAAUUAAUUAAAAAAUAAAAUAAAAAAUUCAAGAUCACUAUUAUUUUUAUUCAUUUUUUUCUUCAUGCACGCUUUCUACCCCAAUUCUUCUUCUUUUGUUUUUCUAUUCCAUCAAUAAUUCUCUAAUACUGCAAAUAUCAUUCCUGCAAGAUCAUCACUGAGUAUGUGUUUCACGACUUUAUUUUUUAAUUUAUCAAUAUUCAAUAAAAUUUAAGGUAAACAUAUAUGUGUGUGUGUAAUAAAAUUAAAAGUUCACAACUUAAUAAUUAAUUCACUCAUUUUAUUGGUAUGGACUCCAUAUAAUCUUAUCUUGUAAUUCAAAACAAUCAACAACUUUUAGCCGCCUAAUUUUGAAUCCUCAAGAAAUCAAUAAAUGACUUUCCACGCAGCUCGCUUGAAAAGAAUCUUUUCAAGUGAUCUACCACACUUAUCCUCUUAAAUAAUGCUGGAGUCUUUGGAGUAAUAAGACUCAGUGCUGGACCCAAAUCUCCAUCUAAUUUUGGACUGUAAAAUGUACCAAAAGAUAACCUUUCCUUCAUUGAGUUUACAGUCGCACGAUGUUCAAUACUACGAUAAGUUCCAUUGCUAAAAAUCUGCAGGAUCAUAAAUUGAACCCAAAAAAAAAAAAAAGUUAGCGAGUAUAAUCAAGAGGAGGAAGAAAUUAGAUGAAACUAGUCAUCAACUAUAUAUCCUAUGCUAACAAUUAACUUAGUUUUUAUUGCAAGCGACGCAUCACCAAUUAUUUCUAGAUUCGCAUUUAGUUGACUUUAUUUUCUAUUAUUAAUACAAAUUAUACAAUAAUUCUACUCUACUUACUAAUAAAAGACACGUCAGAUGUCACGUAACAUUAUUAGAGGGAAAAAUGCUUGGUGAAGAGAAACACGAGAGAAAAACGAGAGAAAUAAAGAAUAAAAUGGUAGAGAGAAAGUGAGUGGGUAGAGAGAGAGAGGACAAAAUUCUCUCUUCUUUCUCUCGUGCUUCUCUACACCUACCACUGCUCUUACUAGAGAUACAAACUACGGAGAGACAUAGCCUUACUUAUCAUAGGCCGUAGAGAAAGACAAGUGUUACCUUUAAAACGUCACCAACGUUGACUAUUAAGGCAUCAGGAAGGGGUUUAACAGCAAACCAUUUUCCAUCUUUCUUAAUUUGGAGACCAUCCAUCUCAUUGAUUUGGAGGAGGAUGGUGAGUAUGGAGCCAUCAGAAUGAGGCUUAAAGCCGAGAACUUACUCUGGUUGCGGACAAGGAGGAUAAUAAUUCAUCCUUAAUGAUUGCAUCCCGUUUUCAAACAGCUCUUUCAUGUCAUUGGGAUCCAUUCUUAGAGCUUUAGCCAUUAGGUCAAGGAUUUUCAAGGUAAGAUUUUUAAGUUCCGUUAAGUAAACUUCCAAGUCAUCUCCGCAUGCAAAUAAUAAUAUAUAGUCCAGUAAUUAUCAUAAGAUAGAAUAUACUAUAUAAGAAAAGUCUAAAAUUUAAGUAUAGAACCUGAAUGGAAGAGGCAACUUGGGGAACAAGUGGGGUUUCCUCAGAUGGGUUGGGAGAGUGAACAUAGUAAAGCCGUAUCCCCAAUCAAGCUUCUGCUCUUCAGACGUAAUAAAAAGCUGCCCAAAUCCCUCAACAUCUCCUGGCUGCUGCCAAAACUUCUUUUUCUCAUCAAUUGGAAGAUUAAAGAAUUCUUGAAUCUCUGCUUUCACUUUCUCCACCAAUGAACUGCUCACUCCAUGAUUCAUCAACCGCAUAUAUGCAAAUUAAAGCAAGAUGUUCUUUCCAUAUAUACAUGGUUCAUAAAGGAAAUUUUGAAGUUCUGGAAACAAAAUGAUUUUUAUGGAAAAUGCUAAAGAAACGGAGAGCUGAUAAAAUGCUGACAAAAACAACGAUAAAUUAGUCUGUUUAAUGGGUUUACAAUCAAGUGACUAAUCCGGUACUGAUUUACUUUGUUUUUUGUAAACGUUUUGUCUAAUUUUUAUUAUCUGAAUAUCACUGCUAAAUUGUUAUGUACCUGAAAGAAACCCCAGUCUUUACAUGCAUGGUUCAUAUAGGGAACUUAAAGCUCAGGAAGUAAAAUUAUUUUUAUGGAAAAUGUAAAAACACUGAGACCUGAAAAAACGCUAACAAAAGCAAUGAUUUGCAAUCAAUUAAGUAUUUUUAUUAUAUGAAUAUCACUGCUCAAUUAUUAUGUACCUGAAAGAAACCCCACUCUUUACAUGCAUGGUCAAGCUUCUCAAGCUCUGAGUCAUCCCCAGAGAGCAACGUGUGCAUGUCAAUGACUGGAAGUUGUUGUGCUGAAGAAUCGUCGUUGCGAAUCAAGGGAUGGUCUAUCUCAGGGAGAACAUAACGUGGCGGAACAGUUGUCAGUGGCAGAUUAUUUGCCAGCUCCAGAAUCGAAGGCUCCACGAGAGAAUUCCCAAUAACUGUUGCUUUUGCCUCCAUGUUAUAUAGAUUUAGAUUAACUGAUUUCUAGCUAUUACCUUUUUGUUUUCUUCUACUCUUCUGCAGACUUAGCUAGUAUGUGUUUUGACAAGAAACUCAUAUAUAAAUAG